UGAGGUAAGGGCUACACCAAGCCGAUAAUCGAUAGGGGCCGUGAGAGCGGGAGCCCCGAGAUGGGUACUUAGACAGCGACCCAGGCCUUACGAGGCGCAGCAGGCGCGGAACCUCCGCAAUACACGAAAGUGUGACGGGGUUACCCAAAGUGUUCUCUUAAGAACUGUGGCGAGUGAGUAAUGUUCCUCGCUAGAAAGGAGAGGGCAAGGCUGGUGCCAGCCGCCGCGGUAAAACCAGCUCUUCAAGUGGUCGGGAUAAUUAUUGGGCUUAAAGUGUCCGUAGCCGGUUUAGUAAGUUCCUGGUAAAAUCGGGUAGCUUAACUAUCUGUAUGCUAGGAAUACUGCUAUACUAGAGGGCGGGAGAGGUCUGAGGUACUACGGGGGUAUGGGUGAAAUCUUAUAAUCCUUGUAGGACCACCAGUGGCGAAGGCGUCAGACUGGAACGCGCCUGACGGUGAGGGACGAAAGCCAGGGGAGCGAACCGGAUUAGAUACCCGGGUAGUCCUGGCCGUAAACGAUGCAUACUAGGUGAUGGCACGGCCAUGAGCCAUGUCAGUGCCGUAGGGAAACCGUUAAGUGUGCCGCCUGGGAAGUACGGUCGCAAGGCUAAAACUUAAAGGAAUUGGCGGGGGAGCACCACAAGGGGUGAAGCCUGCGGUUCAAUUGGACUCAACGCCGGGAAACUUACCAGGGGAGACAGUAGGAUGAUGGUCAGGUUGACGACCUUACCUAACGAGCUGAGAGGAGGUGCAUGGCCGUCGCCAGUUCGUGCUGUGAGGUAUCCUGUUAAGUCAGGCAACGAACGAGAUCCGCACCUUUAUUUGCCACCAAGAAGUUACGACUUUGUUGGGAACAAUAAAGGGACCGCCGUUCGAUAAGACGGAGGAAGGAGCGGGCAAAGGCAGGUCAGUAUGCCCCGAAACCCCUGGGCUACACGCGGGCUGCAAUGAUAUGAACAAUGGGCUGUGACUCCGAAGGGAGAAACCAAUCCCGAAAUCAUAUCACAGUGGGGAUUGUCGGCUGUAACCCGCUGACAUGAACGUGGAAUCCCUAGUAAUC
rnacentral:rRNA from 1 species